rnacentral:rRNA from 1 species
UACGUAGGGGGCUAGCGUUGUCCGGAAUCAUUGGGCGUAAAGCGCGUGUAGGCGGUUCGGUAAGUCCGCUGUGAAAGUCGGGGGCUCAACCCUCGAAUGCCGGUGGAUACUGUCGGGCUAGAGUGCGGAAGAGGCGAGUGGAAUUCCUGGUGUAGCGGUGAAAUGCGCAGAUAUCAGGAGGAACACCUAUUGCGAAGGCAGCUCGCUGGGACGUUACUGACGCUGAGGAGCGAAAGCGUGGGGAGCGAACAGG